rnacentral:rRNA from 1 species
GACGAACGCUGGCGGCGUGCUUAACACAUGCAAGUCGAACGGAAAGGCCCCUUCGGGGGUACUCGAGUGGCGAACGGGUGAGUAACACGUGCGUAACCUGCCCUUGACUUCGGGAUAACUUCAGGAAACUGGGGCUAAUACCGGAUAGGAAUCCUUGCUGCAUGGUGGGGGUUGGAAAGCUUCCGGGGUUUUGGAUGGACUCGCGGCUUAUCAGCUUGUUGGUGGGGUAGUGGCUUACCAAGGCUUUGACGGGUAGCCGGCCUGAGAGGGCGACCGGCCACAUUGGGACUGGGGUACGGCCCAGACUCCUACGGGGGGGAACAGGGGGGGAUUAUGGACAAUGGGCGGGAACCUGAUGCAGCAAAGCCGCGUGGGGGAUGACGGCCUUCGGGUUGGAAACCGCUUUCAGCAGGGGCGGAGCUUGUAGUGACGGUACCUGCAGAAGAAGCACCGGCUAACUACGUG